rnacentral:rRNA from 1 species
GGGUUGUGAGGUUAAGCGACUAAGCGUACACGGUGGAUGCCCUGGCAGUCAGAGGCGAUGAAGGGCGUGCUAAUCUGCGAUAAGCGCCGGUAAGGUGAUAUGAACCGUUAUAACCGGCGAUACCCGAAUGGGGAAACCCAGUGUGACUCGUCACACUAUCAUUAACUGAAUUCAUAGGUUAAUGAGGCGAACCGGGGGAACUGAAACAUCUAAGUACCCCGAGGAAAAGAAAUCAACCGAGAUUCCCCCAGUAGCGGCGAGCGAACGGGGAGGAGCCCAGAGCCUGAAUCAGCAUGUGUGUUAGUGGAAGCGUCUGGAAAGGCGCGCGAUACAGGGUGACAGCCCCGUACACAAAAGCGCAUGUGCUGUGAGCUCGAUGAGUAGGGCGGGACACGUGGUAUCCUGUCUGAAUAUGGGGGGACCAUCCUCCAAGGCUAAAUACUCCUGACUGACCGAUAGUGAACCA